CUACUGUAGAAACAUGGUGGUGCAACAUGGUGCGCACCGUGGAAGACCCGCUCUGUGUGGAUAUAAAGGGCUGAUUGUAAGGAUGAUUCUAUGGAAAGAAGGAGAGGAGAGGUUGCUAUCUGUGGCUUAGUGGUGUAUCUCAGAGAAAAGGGAAAAGAUCUCUUCAAAGAGCAGUCGAAAUAAUUUGCGGAGCAGACACCAUGGCCUGUGCUUGAGUGCCACUGGAUGAGCAGCAGGUGACCGAGUCUGGCCCGCUGGGAGAGAAGCACACUGCACUGCACCUGAAAGGAAGGAGCGGUAUUUUGUGCCUUAUAAGCCCCUGCCAGAACAUAGCUCUCCCGCUGAGGUGGAGGAGUUUUUGGAACAUGCCAAAUUCAUCAGAGGACCUGGAUUGGCUGCUCACGCUGCAUCAUGACAAGUUUUGGCGUCAGGUGGACCACCCAUGACUGAGGACAUUGAAAGUCCAUCGAUGCUACAGACUAACAAAUAUGCAGCAGAACUUGAGGGGAGCAGAAGCCCCUCACUGUUGUCAGUCUGCAGAUUCUGACUAAAUCAACAAAUAUGCAACACAAACACAAACACCUUUCAACUACACAAACACACCAUGACACACACACCAUCGUCAGAUCAAAGUUUGUUUUUUUUUACAUCUUUUUUUUUCUUAUCAUUUUAUCGAUUUGUAUCAUGAUACCAAAAAUUGAACAUAAAUAGUGCAGUUGUUCGGGAGCUUUGCCAGGUUUUUGUAGCAGCAGAAUGUUGAGUUAAACCUAGUCAUGACUUUUUUAUGCAGAGACAGUAUGUUUAGUAUGUUUUCACACUCACACACUCACCUACACACAUGCACAUACUAAAUAAAUGAAUGAAAAACGUGAUUCUGUUGAAAGACUUUUGACAGUGACCACAGUGACCACAGUGACCACAGUGGUCAGACCAGUUACCCAGGAAUUUAAAGUCAAAGAGUUACAGGAAUGUUGUCAUAAUGUUAUUCAUUUGUAUAAUGUUUGUAAAGCACGUUAUCAGAUUCCAAAAUAAUAACAUUCUGAGAACAUUGAAAAAAACCCAAAAUAAAA